rnacentral:rRNA from 1 species
CCUACGGGUGGCAGCAGUAGGGAAUAUUGCUCAAUGGGGGAAACCCUGAAGCAGCAACGCCGCGUGGAGGAUGAAGGUUUUCGGAUUGUAAACUCCUUUUGUUAGAGAAGAUAAUGACGGUAUCUAACGAAUAAGCACCGGCUAACUCCGUGCCAGCAGCCGCGGUAAUACGGAGGGUGCAAGCGUUACUCGGAAUCACUGGGCGGAAAGAGCGCGUAGGCGGGAUAGCAAGUCAGAUGUGAAAUCCUAAGGCUUAACCAUAAAACUGGAUUUGAAACUGUUAAUCUAGAGGAAGGGAGAGGUAGGUGGAAUUCUUGGGGUACGGGUAAAAUCCGUAGAGAUUAAGAGGAAUACUCAUUGCGAAGGCGACCUGCUAGAACAUAACUGACGCUGAUGCGCGAAAGCGUGGGGAGCAAACAGGAUUAGAUACCCGGGUAGUC